rnacentral:tRNA from 1 species
GCCCUUGUAGUAUAAGCCAAUACACCGGUCUUGUAAGCCGGAACUGAAGUCUUUCUUCCAAGGACA